GUAGGUUGGCAAGCGUUGCCCGGAAUUAUUGGGCGUAAAAGCGCGCGCAGGCGGUUCUUUAAGCCUGAUGUGAAAGCCCACGGCUCAACCGUGGAGGGUCAUUGGAAACUGGAGAACUUGAGUACAGAAGAGGAAAGCGGAAUUCCACGUGUAGCGGUGAAAUGCGUAGAGAUGUGGAGGAACACCAGUGGCGAAGGCGGCUUUCUGGUCUGUAACUGACGCUGAGGCGCGAAAGCGUGGGGAGCAAACAGGAUUAGAUACCCUGGUAGUCCACGCCGUAAACGAUGAGUGCUAAGUGUUAGGGGGGUUUCCGCCCCCCUUAGUGCUGCAGCUAACGCAUUAAGCACUCCGCCUGGGAUACGGCCGCAAGGCUG
rnacentral:rRNA from 1 species